rnacentral:misc_RNA from 1 species
AGCAAUGUAGCCAAUGGUUCCUCUUGCUGUUGUCAUGGAUACUGCACUUUGAUCUUUAGAACACAACUUUGCCAGGCCAAAAUCAGAGAUCUUGGGAUUGAAGUUAUGGUCCAGCAGGAUAUUAUGUGGUUUUAUGUCAAAAUGAAGGAUUCUCCGAUUGCAUCCUUGGUGGAGAUAUUCAAUCCCUUUGGCUAUCCCAAGAGCAAUGUCUUCCAGCCUUUUCCAUCCAAGAAAAU